GACGAACGCUGGCGGCGUGCUUAACACAUGCAAGUCGAACGAAGUGGCGAACGGGUGAGUAACGCGUAAUUAACCUGCCCUUCAGAGGGGGACAACAGUUGGAAACGACUGCUAAUACCGCAUACUGAAGGAGGGGAUUGCGUCUGAUUAGAUAGUUGGAAGGGUAACGGCCCACCAAGGCGAUGAUCAGUAGCCGGUCAGAGAGGAGGAACGGCCACGUUGGGACUAAGACACGGCCCAGACUCCUACGGGAGGCAGCAGUGGGUAAUCUUCCGCAAUGGACGAAAGUCUGACGGAGCAACGCCGCGUGAGUGAUGACGGCCUUCGGGUUGUAAAGCUCUGUUAAUCGGGACGCGGUAUCUAACCAGAAAGCCACGGCUAACUACGUGCCAGCAGCCGCGGUAAUAC
rnacentral:rRNA from 1 species